AUGGGUGCCGCCGGUGGCCGUGGUGCCAUGCGUCUCCGUGCCGAUCACUCCAGCGUGUCCAUGCUGCCCGUAGGUGCCGCCGCCGGCAGGGGUGCCAUGUGUCGCCGUGCCGGUGUGUCCCUGCUGCCCGUAGGCUCCACCGGUCUGCUGGUGGUCACUGUGGCCACCAGGGAGCUUUUCCUUGAUGUUCUCCAUGACGCCCUUCUUCUCGCCGGUGCCGUGCGUCCCCGUGCCAGUCACUCCGGUGUGUCCCUGCUCCCCAUAGGUGCCACCGGUCGCCGGGGUGCCAUGCGUCGCUGUGCCGGUAUGUCCCUGCUGCCCAUAGGUGCCACCGGUCGCCGGGGUGCCAUGCGUCGCCGUGCCGGUGUGUCCCUGCUGCCCAUAGGUACCACCAGUCUGCUGGUGGUCCUGGUGGCCACCAGGGAGCUUGUCCUUGAUGUUCUCCAUGACGCCCUUCUUCUCGCCGGCGUGGGCGCCAUGCAACCCCGUGCCGGUGGUUCCAGCGUGACCCUGCUGCCCGUAGGCACCACCAGUGGCCGGGGCACCAUGCGUCGCCGUGCCGGCGUGCCCGUGGGUACCAGCGGUCUCCUUGUGGUCGCCGUGGCCGCCGGGGAGCUUCUCCUUGAUCUUCUCCAUGAUGCCCUUCUUCUCGCCGGCGAUGUGUGCCUGGUUCUCCAUCUUGCGCUGAGCUCCUCACUCGGGAAAUCUACUACGUAUUGCUGCUGUGUACUUGCCUUGGUAGUGUGA
rnacentral:rRNA from 1 species